CAAGCAGUCAACACUGCACAGCGCGGACCGAAUCCCCAUCACGUAAAGCGGCGGCUUCCUCCUCCGACCACCCCCCCCCCAGCCCCGCUUCGAUCGUCGCUACUCAUGAACAGUCUUCUCAUGGAGGCGAUGGUGAAGCCGCUACAGCGGUACCCAACCCUCGGCGCCACCGUCGGCACCGGCGUGUUAUGCGCCUUUACAUACUGGUGGUACGCCACCUCCAUCCGCAGCACUCUUCUUGCAACGCAGCGCAGUUGCCAGCAGAUGUCGGACAAGGCCUUUCACGAGUGCCGGGAGAUGCUCAAGGCAGGCGAGCGCAGCUGGGGAGGCGAUAUCCGCUCCCGUGAUGCGCAGGUGCGGCGGCUCGAGCUGCAAAACGUUGAGCAGACGCGCAGUGUCGCGCGGCUGGAGUCGGCAAUGAAGAUGUGCCUCAUCCAGAACGCGUAGGCUGAAGAUGGCGCCGCUCUGACGGGCUAUGCGCCACGUCGCCAUAUUCGUUGCCGUGUCCCGCUUGAUGUCUCUUGAGGACAUGGUGGUGGUGGCCUGUAGGUACUUGAUGGUGCCCGUGCGGCAGGCAUCACCGCCUCGUCGUACGUGCGAUCGGCGCACCACCGCUCUCCUCUACCAAAGCCAAGGCACGCGUGCAUGGGGUCGUCUUGUUUGGAUACACGAUGGGGCAUGCGCGCGUAGCGCCGGUGGCGCACUCCAUCGUGGGGCUGUUCAUGUGGGUCGCUCUCCGUCUCUAUCGGUGCACGUGCAUAUAUCUCUAUCAGCUAGGAGACAGCAAAGCAAGCCAUGCCCUGAUGCUGCGUGCGACUUGGUAAGGGUGAAAAGCAGGCGCGAGUGAUGAGGGCGGCCCCCGGGAUGUCGCCAUCCCGUGACAUCGGUUACUGCAGAGCCACGACAGAAAACGGGGCGCUUGGGCCUUAUGCAGGCCUGCCGCCCACCGUGCAUCUGCCUCCCUCUCCCUCCCCUCUCCCCCUUACCUUGCCCCUGGGGCGCGUCCUCGCAACACGCGCAUCCGGGCAUGGCCCCCUACGCAUGCUCUGCACGGAUGUGCCGAAGGCAUGUGACACUGCUGCGUCUUCCAAUCACAAUGGCGAUGGCUGCCGUCGCGCUAGUCUCUCCCUCGUCCCG
rnacentral:misc_RNA from 1 species